ACAAACACAAUUUUAUUUUAACACACACACGUAUCGUCACAUACACUUGGGUGCACAUAAGUUACAAAUUAACUUAGGUGUUGGUGCUAUGGGAUAUGUGGAGGCCUAACC
rnacentral:sRNA from 1 species